UUGUCUUUUAAAUAAAGACCAGUAUGAAUGGCAAGACGAAAGUUCAACUGUCUCCCUAAAUUAAUCAAUGAAAUUGAUCUUCCCGUGCAGAAGCGGGAAUAAAAUUAUAAGACGAGAAGACCCUAUGGAGCUUUAAAUAUAUGAUCAACUGUAUAAUAUAAAAUUCGAUAGAUUAAAUAUUUAAUAAAACAUUAUGAUCAAAAUUUUAGGUUGGGGCGACCACGGAGAAAAACAAAACCUCCGAGAUGAAAAGAAUAUCUUAAUUUAUGAAUUACAGUUCUAAUAAAUAAAAUAUUUAACAUAAUUGAUCCAAUAUUUUUGAUCAACGAACUAAGUUACCCUAGGGAUAACAGCGCAAUCCUUUCCAAGAGUCCCUAUCGACGAAUGGGUUUACGACCUCGAUGUUGGAUCAGGACACCCCAAUGGUGCAGCCGCUAUUAAAGGUUCGUUUGUUCAACGAUUAAAGU
rnacentral:rRNA from 1 species